UCAACUUAUCACUUGGUGGCAGAAACAUCCAAAACGGAAAGAAGAAUCCUGCAACAAGAAUUCUUGAUGAGAAUUAUGCACCUCCCAACUUUAAAAUGUGAAAGGAAGAAACUGGACAUCUCCACAAACACCAUUUCUGUUUCCACUGAAGAUUCAGAGGUCGUCAUCCUGAUAUCAUGGAGCAACAUCUCCGCAGGGCCAACAAAGUCUCUCUCUUUAUACCUGUGUUAGAGUAUGAACCGCAGUUGAUUAUAUCACUUUCUGGGAGGUCGGUUUGCUUCCUUGGCAAAGAAAGGUGAAAAUUUUAGGGUUCAUCAGCAACGGAAAUUGAUAUGUUGUUUCUCUCUAUCGCUGAUGUCCCUCCUUUGAUCUGUUGUAUCUCUCUAUCACUGAAUUCAAGCUGGUGGAAAUAAGGACAUAACACAGUGAUCAAGGUGAUUCAUGACGAGGACCUUAAAAUGGAAAACUUAACAUUGACAUUGAUUUCUAUAUCACUACAUUAGAUAUAUAUUUAUGGUUCAGGGUAACAGAUGUUAAGGGAUAUGAAUGAUGGCAAUUAAGACGUAGAGGAUGAACCGCCAUUGUUACAGACCGCAGCACAAGUGUUGUUUUCCGUUGGCGCUUUCGUCUCUCUUCGUUCCUGCCUCUCUCUGUUCGCGCUUCAAUAUCUCUCUCUCUCUCAUCGAUUGAAUGUUUCGGUUUCGCUCUUGUUAUUGUUAGUAGGUUUUGAUUCAUCUUCUA